CUAUUUGGUAGCAAGGGUUUACCGCCCUGUGAAYGAGGUUACAGCUCGACGCCUAUCUCGGCCAUACUACC
rnacentral:tRNA from 1 species